UUCUUUUUUUGAAGUUCUUUACUUUUUUUAAUUGGAGGAUAAUUACUUUACAGUAUCGUCAUGGUUUUUGCUAUAUAUCAAUAUGAAUCGGCCAUA